rnacentral:rRNA from 1 species
UACGUAGGGGGCUAGCGUUGUCCGGAUUUAUUGGGCGUAAAGAGCGUGUAGGCGGCCAGGUAGGUCUGCUGUGAAAACUCGAGGCUCAACCUCGAGACGUCGGCGGAAACCAUCUGGCUAGAGUCCGGAAGAGGAGAGUGGAAUUCCCGGUGUAGCGGUGAAAUGCGUAGAGAUCGGGAGGAAGGCCGGUGGCGAAGGCGGCGCUCUGGAACAUUUCUGACGCUGAGGCUCGAAAGCGUGGGGAGCAAACAGG